rnacentral:rRNA from 1 species
ACGGGUGAGUAACGCGUGGGAACAUACCUUUUGGUUCGGAACAACACAGGGAAACUUGUGCUAAUACCGAAUAAGCCCUUACGGGGAAAGAUUUAUCGCCGAAAGAUUGGCCCGCGUCUGAUUAGCUUGUUGGUGAGGCAACGGCUCACCAAGGCGACGAUCAGUAGUUGGUCUGAGAGGAUGAUCAGCCACAUUGGGACUGAGACACGGCCCAAACUCCUACGGGAGGCAGCAGUGGGGAAUAUUGGACAAUGGGCGCAAGCCUGAUCCAGCCAUGCCGCGUGAGUGAUGAAGGCCCUAGGGUUGUAAAGCUCUUUUGUGCGGGAAGAUAAUGACGGUACCGCAAGAAUAAGCCCCGGCUAACUUCGCGCCAGCAGCCGCGGUAAUACGAAGGGGGCUAGCGUUGCUCGGAAUCACUGGGCGUAAAGGGUGCGUAGGCGGGUCUUUAAGUCAGAGGUGAAAGCCUGGAGCUCAACUCCAGAACUGCCUUUGAUACUGAGGAUCUCGAGUUCGGGAGAGGUGAGUGGAACUGCGAGUGUAGAGGUGAAAUUCGUAGA